rnacentral:lncRNA from 1 species
AGACCCUGUUCUACUUCAGUAGCCAGCUAGCUCUGCAGACCCUGUUCUACUUCAGUAGCCAGCUAGCUCUGCAGACCCUGUUCUACUUCAGUAGCCAGCUAGCUCUGCAGACCCUGUUCUACUUCAGUAGCCAGCUAGCUCUGCAGACCCUGUUCUACUUCAGUAGCCAGCUAGCUCUGCAGACCCUGUUCUACUUCAGUAGCCAGCUAGCUCUGCAGACCCUGUUCUACUGCUACUUCAGAAGUGAAAUACAAUGUAUCAAGUGUAUGAGUCUGUCCUCAUUGCACGUCUGUUAUUUGAUGUCGCACCUCAAAUGAUGAGCUGGUGGACUGAGACCAGAUGGGGGGUGUAAUAGGUGGUGACAUGACAGUGUGUUAUCAGAGGACUGAGACCAGAUGGGGGGUGUAAUAGGUGGUGACAUGACAGUGUGUUAUCAGAGGACUGAGACCAGAUGGGGGGUGAAAUAGGUGGUGACAUGACAGUGUGUUAUCAGAGGACUGAGACCAGAUGGGGGGUGUAAUAGGU